GCCCUUGAUGGCUCAGUUGGAUAGAGCAUCUGUCAUGUAAUCAGGAGAUCCCAGGUUCAAGUCCUGGUCGGGGCA